CUCUCACAAGUUGUUAGGCGUGAAGCACCCUUUCCAAUUAUUUUGCUCCAAGUAGCAAUGUUUUGCUCAAUGAGGAAUUUAACUUCAACCUUACAUACAGAAUGAUAAGCCAAUGUUGGUUUUUCACAGAUGUCUACCCGCCUUCCCCUAAAUUCAUGUGUGGGAAUCCAAUCCCUCAGAAGUCUAUAAAAGGUACUCUGAAUAUGGAGAUGAGUAAAACCAAGCUUCCACAUUCCAUGCUCUCACAAUAAAACAUGGCAAUAUUGUGGAGACAGCAGUUGUCACAUGAACCCAGAUACCAGGCAAUCAAACAAGGAUGCACUUUGGCCUUCUCCGAUCCGAAAGCUGAAAGCUAAAAUUACUAUUUUUCUCAACUUUUAGUAUGUAUUUUAAAGCAUUAAUUUUAGUAAAUUUGCUUGAUUAUAUGAAUUUACUUUAGUUAAUUCUGUUAGGAGUUCACAAAAAUUUAUAUUUAAAACUUAUACCUUAUAGUUUAUUUUUAUAAUUUGUUUUCAAGGACAUAAAUAUUAUUAGUAUUACAUGAUUCUUUAAAAUAAGGAUAUGAUCAUGUGAACCUCACUUAUUUUGUAUCAGUCCAAAUAACUAGGUCAGUGCCUUUUCAUGCCAAUUUUUAAUGGUAUGUUUUUAAAUAAAAUAUAUUUAAUAUUUUUAUAAUCGACA
rnacentral:lncRNA from 13 species